CUUAAUUUGACACAACACGGGAAACCUCACCCGGCCCGGACACGGACAGGAUUGACAGAUUGAUAGCUCUUUCUCGAUUCCGUGGGUGGUGGUGCAUGGCCGUUCUUAGUUGGUGGAGUGAUUUGUCUGGUUAAUUCCGAUAACGAACGAGACUCCAACCUACUAACUAGACGAAAUUUUGACUAGUAUCUUCGGCUACUAGCGGUAUAAAUUCUUCUUAGAGGGACAGGCGGCUUCUAGCCGCACGAGACGGAGCAAUAACAGGUCUGUAAUGCCCUUAGAUGUUCUGGGCCGCACGCGCGCUACAAUGAUGAAUUCAACGAGUUUAUAACCUUGGUUGAAAAGCCUGGGUAAUCUUUUGAACUUUCGUCGUGAUGGGGCUAGACCCUUGCAAUUAUUGGUCUCCAACGAGGAAUUCCUAGUAAACGCAAGUCAU
rnacentral:rRNA from 14 species